rnacentral:rRNA from 1 species
AUUGAACGCUGGCGGCAGGCCUAACACAUGCAAGUCGAGCGAGCGGCGGACGGGUGAGUAAUGUCUGGGAAACUGCCUGAUGGAGGGGGAUAACUACUGGAAACGGUAGCUAAUACCGCAUACCAUCAGAGGUGCCCAGAUGGGAUUAGCUAGAAGGGGGGGUAACGGCUCACCUAGGCGACGCUCCCUAGCGGGUCUGAGAGGAUGACCAGCCACACUGGAACUGAGACACGGUCCAGACUCCUACGGGAGGCAGCAGUGGGGAAUAUUGCACAAUGGGCGCAAGCCUGAUGCAGCCAUGCCGCGUGUGUGAAGAAGGCCUUCGGGUUGUAAAGUACUUUCAGCGAGGAGGCGUUACCCGCAGAAGAAGCACCGGCUAACUCCGUGCCAGCAGCCGCGGUAAUAC